rnacentral:rRNA from 1 species
GUGAACGCUGGCGGUAGGCCUAACACAUGCAAGUCGAACGGCAGCACAGUAAGAGCUUGCUCUUACGGGUGGCGAGUGGCGGACGGGUGAGGAAUACAUCGGAAUCUACUUUUUCGUGGGGGAUAACGUAGGGAAACUUACGCUAAUACCGCAUGCGACCUACGGGUGAAAGCAGGGGAUCUUCGGACCUUGCGCGAUUGAAUGAGCCGAUGUCGGAUUAGCUAGUUGGCGGGGUAAAGGCCCACCAAGGCGACGAUCCGUAGCUGGUCUGAGAGGAUGAUCAGCCACACUGGAACUGAGACACGGUCCAGACUCCUACGGGAGGCAGCAGUGGGGAAUAUUGGACAAUGGGCGCAAGCCUGAUCCAGCCAUACCGCGUGGGUGAAGAAGGCCUUCGGGUUGUAAAGCCCUUUUGUUGGGAAAGAAAAGCAGCAGGUUAAUACCCCGCUGUUCUGACGGUACCCAAAGAAUAAGCACCGGCUAACUUCGUG